CGCUAUCUCGGUUGAUUAUAACUUUUCUAUCCGAACCUGAAUAGCUCUGCCCUCGUGAAGUAGCCAAACAGCAGAGAGCACAUUCCUGAUUUUCAAUUAUUUUGUCUUUCUUGAAUUCCAAAGAAGAUGAGGGUUUCUACACGGGCUGUUAUUCGUUGAGGAUUUGCUGCAAACAAGAGAGAUGUAUUCAUCAAGUAGAUGAUGCUGUUUUCCUUUUUCGUGAAUGCUCGGAAUGCGCCCACAGGCUUCUAUUGUUAAUUUCAAUAAACUAUUGUCUGCUGUUGUCAAGAUGAAGCGAUACCCCAUUGCCCUUAAUGUAUUCUACGAAAUGCGUCAAUUGGAAUCCCUGUCAACCAGUGGACAAUGAACAUAGUAAUCAAUUGCUAUUGCCUCCUGAAUCGAACAGACUUUGGAUUUGCUAUCUUCGGCAGCUUCUUCAAGGUCGGUUACGAGCCUGAUGUCACUACUUUCACCACACUUAUAAAAGAUGGGCUAUGCAAAGCUGGACACACUCUCACUGUGUAUGAUUUGCUUGGGUAUUUGAGAAGACAAGCUGGAAACCUGAUGUUCUUUCUUAUAACACAGUGAUUGACAGUUUAUGCAAGGAUCGCCAGCGCUCCGAGCCAAAAUGAUUGAUAAGGGCAUUUCACCCGGACAUUGUAAUGUAUAGUUCAGUGGUUCAAGGUUUGUGCAGUUUCUGCCGAUGGAAAGAUGCGUAAGACUUAAUUGCUGAAAUGGUGGAUUACAAGAUAUCUCUAAAUGUGAUUACUUUUGGUAUAUUGGUGGAUGCAUUUUGCAAAGAAGGAAUGGUGAAAGAGGCUGAGGAUGUUGUUGAAAUUAUGAUGCAAAGAAACAUUGCUCCUAAUACUGUCACAUGCUUCUUUGCAUCAUAAUUUCAACAACAUCCUCAGCCUCUUUGACCAUUCCUUCCUUGCAAAAUGCAUCCACCAAUAUAUUAAAAGUAAUCACAUCUAGAGAUAUCCUGUGAUCCACCAUUUCAGCAAUUAAGUCUUUCGCAUCUUUCCAUAUACGUUACAAUGUCCGGUGAAUGCCCUUAUCAAUCAUUUUGGCUAGGAGUUGGAGCGCAUCCUCAACCAUGCGAUCCUUGCAUAAACUGUCAAUCACUGUGCUUCAGUAGAAUAAGUGAGAGUUCUCGUCUGCACAUUUCAUCGAAGAAUGUCUUUGCUUCAAAAAGCUCGUUCCUAUUAAGCAACCCCUUGAUUUUAAUAUCGUAUGACCUUGUUUCAUACAAUUGAUCGCUAGCACGUAAAUUCAAAUACUUUUUUUUUUUUUUUCUUUCGGAGCAUAUAUCCCUCUUUAGUGUUUGAGUGAGGCGCUUAUUCAUGUUAAUAAAAGCAGAAUAUAUGGAUAUUAUAUG